rnacentral:pre_miRNA from 1 species
AAACCGUCCUCUAAGUUUUGCAACUGUAGCAGUUUUGGCCCCCCAAGGUCAAUUUUUGGUAAAAAAAAAAGAAAAAAACACUUGGCACCUCACUUAGGGUGCCACGUCAGCGUAGACCGAGUCAAAAUUGGCAUUGGGGGCCAAACCUGGUACAUAUGCAAAACUUAGGGGGCGGUUU